rnacentral:rRNA from 1 species
CAGCCGCCGCGGUAAUACGUAGGUGGCAAGCGUUGUCCGGAAUUAUUGGGCGUAAAGGGCUCGCAGGCGGUUUCUUAAGUCUGAUGUGAAAGCCCCCGGCUCAACCGGGGAGGGUCAUUGGAAACUGGGAAACUUGAGUGCAGAAGAGGAGAGUGGAAUUCCACGUGUAGCGGUGAAAUGCGUAGAGAUGUGGAGGAACACCAGUGGCGAAGGCGACUCUCUGGUCUGUAACUGACGCUGAGGAGCGAAAGCGUGGGGAGCAAACAGGAUUAGAUACCCCCGUAGUCCCUGUCUCUUAUAC